GACGAACGCUGGCGGCGUGCUUAACACAUGCAAGUCGAGCGGUAAGGCCCUUUCGGGGGUACACGAGCGGCGAACGGGUGAGUAACACGUGGGCGACCUGCCCUCAGCUCUGGGAUAAGCCUGGGAAACCGGGUCUAAUACUGGAUAUGACUCCAUGACGCAUGUUGUGGGGUGGAAAGCCUUGUGCGGCUGAGGAUGGGCCCGCGGCCUAUCAGCUUGUUGGUGGGGUGANGGCCUACCAAGGCGACGACGGGUAGCCGGCCUGAGAGGGCGACCGGCCACACUGGGACUGAGACACGGCCCAGACUCUACGGGAGGCAGCAGUGGGGAAUCUUGCGCAAUGGGCGAAAGCCUGACGCAGCGACGCCGCGUGAGGGAUGACGGCCU
rnacentral:rRNA from 1 species